AUUGAACGCUGGCGGCAGGCUUAACACAUGCAAGUCGAGCGGAGAUGAGGUGCUUGCACCUUAUCUUAGCGGCGGACGGGUGAGUAAUGCUUAGGAAUCUGCCUAUUAGUGGGGGACAACAUUCCGAAAGGAAUGCUAAUACCGCAUACGUCCUACGGGAGAAAGCAGGGGAUCUUCGGACCUUGCGCUAAUAGAUGAGCCUAAGUCGGAUUAGCUAGUUGGUGGGGUAAAGGCCUACCAAGGCGACGAUCUGUAGCGGGUCUGAGAGGAUGAUCCGCCACACUGGGACUGGCACACGGCCCAGACUCCUACGGGAGGCAGCAGUGGGGAAUAUUGGACAAUGGGGGGAACCCUGAUCCAGCCAUGCCGCGUGUGUGAAGAAGGCCUUAUGGUUGUAAAGCACUUUAAGCGAGGAGGAGGCUACUGAGACUAAUACUCUUGGAUAGUGGACGUUACUCGCAGAAUAAGCACCGGCUAACUCUGUGCCAGCCGCCGCGGUAAAAC
rnacentral:rRNA from 1 species